rnacentral:rRNA from 1 species
AAGUCGAGCGAACAGACGAGGAGCUUGCUCCUCUGACGUUAGCGGCGGACGGGUGAGUAACACGUGGAUAACCUACCUAUAAGACUGGGAUAACUUCGGGAAACCGGAGCUAAUACCGGAUAAUAUAUUGAACCGCAUGGUUCAAUAGUGAAAGACGGUUUUGCUGUCACUUAUAGAUGGAUCCGCGCCGCAUUAGCUAGUUGGUAAGGUAACGGCUUACCAAGGCAACGAUGCGUAGCCGACCUGAGAGGGUGAUCGGCCACACUGGAACUGAGACACGGUCCAGACUCCUACGGGAGGCAGCAGUAGGGAAUCUUCCGCAAUGGGCGAAAGCCUGACGGAGCAACGCCGCGUGAGUGAUGAAGGUCUUCGGAUCGUAAAACUCUGUUAUUAGGGAAGAACAAAUGUGUAAGUAACUAUGCACGUCUUGACGGUACCUAAUCAGAAAGCCACGGCUAACUACGUGCCAGCAGCCGCGGUAAUACGUAGGUGGCAAGCGUUAUCCGGAAUUAUUGGGCGUAAAGCGCGCGUAGGCGGUUUUUUAAGUCUGAUGUGAAAGCCCACGGCUCAACCGUGGAGGGUCAUUGGAAACUGGAAAACUUGAGUGCAGAAGAGGAAAGUGGAAUUCCAUGUGUAGCGGUGAAAUGCGCAGAGAUAUGGAGGAACACCAGUGGCGAAGGCGACUUUCUGGUCUGUAACUGACGCUGAUGUGCGAAAGCGUGGGGAUCAAACAGGAUUAGAUACCCUGGUAGUCCACGCCGUAACGAUGAGUGCUAAGUGUUAGGGGGUUUCCGCCCCUUAGUGCUGCAGCUAACGCAUUAAGCACUCCGCCUGGGGAGUACGACCGCAAGGUUGAAACUCAAAGGAAUUGACGGGACCCGCACAAGCGGUGGAGCAUGUGGUUUAAUUCGAAGCAACGCGAAGAACCUUACCAAAUCUUGACAUCCUCUGACCCCUCUAGAGAUAGAGUUUUCCCCUUCGGGGGACAGAGUGACAGGUGGUGCAUGGUUGUCGUCAGCUCGUGUCGUGAGAUGUUGGGUUAAGUCCCGCAACGAGCGCAACCCUUAAGCUUAGUUGCCAUCAUUAAGUUGGGCACUCUAAGUUGACUGCCG